rnacentral:rRNA from 1 species
UACGUAGGGUGCGAAGCGUUAAUCGGAAUUACUGGGCGUAAAGCGUGCGCAGGCGGUUUGUUAAGUCCGCUGUGAAAGCCCCGGGCUCAACCUGGGAAUGGCGGUGGAAACUGGCGAGCUAGAGUGUGUCAGAGGGGGGUGGAAUUCCACGUGUAGCAGUGAAAUGCGUAGAGAUGUGGAGGAACACCAAUGGCGAAGGCAGCCCCCUGGGAUAACACUGACGCCUGCAGGCACGAAAGCGUGGGAGCAACAGG